UACGGAGGAUGCAAGCGUUAUCCGGAUUUAUUGGGUUUAAAGGGUGCGUAGGCUGUUCGGUAAGUCAGUGGUGAAAUGUUGCAGCUCAACUGCGAAGCUGCCAUUGAUACUGCCGAGCUGGAAUACGGUUGCCGUGGGAGGAAUGUGUAAUGUAGCGGUGAAAUGCAUAGAUAUUACACAGAACACCGAUUGCGAAGGCAUCUCACGAAGCCGCGAUUGACGCUGAGGCACGAAAGUGCGGGGAUCAAACAGG
rnacentral:rRNA from 1 species